CUCCUGGAAGCAGGAUGCAGUCUCCCUGCCCUUUCGUCUGAUGCAGACUUCUGUGCAGCACGAGCCCUGCCCUUCUCACCGGACACACAGCCUCAUCUCUGUAGGGGUGCAGCUACCAGCCAGGCUUUGGACUAGAAGGCAUGACACAGUGAAGAGACAGAUAGCUCAGAGGAGACUUCUGAGGACUGAGAAGAGUAACAGAGAUCUUGAUGCCAUGUUCUCCUGAAAUGCUGAAUGUGAAAUCCCAGAAAUAUCUACCAGUAACAUAGGGUUCACUAUUGAUUUUAAAUUACAAUGAAAUUAACAGGCAAACUAGGAGGAAACCUGGAAGCAUAUGUAAUGUUUGUUCUCAUCUUCAAAAGAAAACAAACAAGUUUUAAAACCGCCAGAAAAGAUAAAGCAAAUUUACCAUUUUUAUUUUGAAAAUCCUUAUUCGUAGACAUUCUUUCUUAUACUCUAUCCAGCUCUGUCGUUUGACCGUUUAAAGACGUUUUCUCUGAAUUUGCCCUCAUUGGAAACUGAAAAGUGGCUCCCUAAGUUCUGUGAGUUCGUCCUCAUCGUAUUCUUCCUCACUCAGUGAAGAUUACUAUAUCACACCG
rnacentral:lncRNA from 1 species